rnacentral:rRNA from 1 species
UACGUAGGGUGCGAGCGUUAAUCGGAAUCACUGGGCGUAAAGCGCACGUAGGCGGAUCUUUAAGUCAGGGGUGAAAUCCCAAGGCUCAACCUUGGAACUGCCUUUGAUACUGGGGAUCUCGAGUCCGGAAGAGGUUGGUGGAACUGCGAGUGUAGAGGUGAAAUUCGUAGAUAUUCGCAAGAACACCAGUGGCGAAGGCGGCCAACUGGUCCGGUACUGACGCUGAGGUGCGAAAGCGUGGGGAGCAAACAGG